rnacentral:rRNA from 1 species
CUGGCGGCGUGCCUAAUACAUGCAAGUCGAACGGUCGUUUCUAUGGAAGCUUGCUUCCACUGAGAAGAUAGUGGCGAACGGGUGAGUAACAACGUGGGGUAACCUGCCCAUAAGAAGGGGGGAGUAACAUCCGGAAACGGGUGCUAAUACCGCAUAGUUUUCUUGAUCGCAUGAUCGGGAAAGGAAAGACGGCCUUUGUGCUGUCGCUUAUGGAUGGACCCGCGGCGUAUUAGUUAGUUGGUGAGGUAACGGCUCACCAAGACGAUGAUACGUAGCCGACCUGAGAGGGUGAUCGGCCACAUUGGGACUGAGACACGGCCCAAACUCCUACGGGAGGCAGCAGUAGGGAAUCUUCCGCAAUGGACGAAAGUCUGACGGAGCAACGCCGCGUGAGUGAAAGAAGGUUUUCGGAUCGUAAAACUCUGUUGUCAGAGAAGAACAAGUUGGAGAGUAACUGCUCCAGCCUUGACGGUAUCUGACCAGAAAGCCACGGCUAACUACGUGCCAGCCGCCGC